UGUAACUACAUGCAUGUAAUGAUGAGAAUAUUUAUAUGUAUUUAUGAUUAUUACAAAAAAUCAGAAAUAUUCUAACAUUCUAGAGGAAUAUUUAUUUUUUUAUUUGAGAAAAGUAUAAUUUUAUUUAUUUAUUUAUUUGCGCAAAUUUAUGGGGUACUUGAGAAAAUGUGUUACAUGUAUAUAAUAUGUAGUGAUCCAAUCAGGAUACUAAGGGUUUCCAUCACCUGAGUGUAUUACAUUUUUGUUAAGUAUAAUCAUCCUAUUCCAGGAGAACAUUUUGAAAACUGUUCUGUAGAGAUACUACUCAAAUUAAGUUCUCAGUCCUGAAACAUCAGAUCAGCUAGGAAUCUGACAAAAAUGCAAGUUCUCAGAUGACAAAUGAGACCACUUGAAUCAGAAUUUCUGGAGUGGAGCCCACACAUUUGUAUUUUUGCAACCUUUCCAAUGAUACUUAUGUACAUGCUCAAGCUUGAAAACCACUUUCCUAGGACAUUAGUUCCUCAACAAGAUUUGUGAGUAACCUUGUUUCAUGAAAAAGUGUUUAGGAGAUACUGAUUCAAUAAAAACUAAUCAGGCUUUUGUUGUUUGCAGGGCUUUCAAAACUUGCAAUAGGCCACUGUGCAUUGUUAAUUUCUAAGAGGAAGAUGCUUAUGUCCUCAAUGAACACCUUCCCACCAUGAAGUACUCUUCUUCCUCCACUUUUUAAAACAAUUAUUAACACCUGGCAGAAGUAGGAAGACGGCUUACAGCUUAGAAAAAGUUGGCCUAAGAUAAUGGCUAAUUUUCAUACAUUAUUUAUUUGUCACCAUGCUUAUCUUUCUCUCUCUAAAUUGUAUAUUUCAUCUCUGUGAUCACAGAUUGAGCCUCGUAUUUCAUAUCUGCCCCUGGCCUAAUGUUUGCUUACAGAAUGAGCUCAAUGAAUAUUGUUAAAUAACACUAACAAAGUUGACCUUAGAAUUGGAGUGCCCGGGUUAGAACCUUGCUGGUACCACCUGCUUACUGCAUGCUUCUGAUGUGAGUUCAGGAGAAGCCACUGGCAAGGACAGCAAAGAACAGGAGAACACUCUAGCUUCCCUGAUAGCAUUCAAGGUGCUGUCCAAACUGACUGUGAUGGCACCCUCCAGACAGACAGCGAUGCCACAUGUUCAAGAUGGCAGAAUCACUAACAGCUUCAAUUCCUGAAUGACUGCAGAGCAAAAUUUCUUACCCGCAACAUACACUCUAUUUUCAGCCUCCCUGGACUGUUACAUAAUGAUACAUAAAAAUAUUUCUUGUGUUGAGGCAUCCCAAAUUUGAUCUAUUUGUCAUCACAGUUUAUCCUACGAAUAUAUUUCUGAUCCAAAUAAUGCUAGAUUCAUGAGAGUUUAUAGUCCAGAGAUUUUUUUUUUUUUUUUUUUUUGAGACAGAAUCUCACUGUCUGCCAGGCUGGGGUGCAGUGGCAUAAUCUUAGCUCACUGCAACCUCCGCCUCCUGGGCUCAAGUGAUCCUCCCUCCUUAGCCUCCAUGAAUAGCUGGGACCACAGGUGUGCACCACCCCACCCAGCUAAUUAUUUUGUAUUUUUUGCAGAGACGGGGUUUCACCACAUUGCCCAAGCUGGUCUCAAACUCCUAGACUUAAGGGAUCUUCCCGCCUUGGCCUCCCAAAAUGCUGAAAUUACAUGUGUUAGCCAUAGUAAUAGUUCCUAGCCAUAGUCCAGAGAUAUUUUAAAAACUUUAGUGUGAGUUAUUUCUCUUUGCUAUAAUUCUCUCAUGCAUUUUGAAAACCUUUUCUGCCAUACAGUGGUUUUUGGGAAGUCCUUUUGGACAGACAUAUCACAGGAUGGAGAAACUAAAAAGAGAGAGAAUGCAUUAAAGAAAAAAUAGUACUUCAUAUUUCAGAAAUUACAAAAGGUUGUCAUGCCCCACAGCAUGGUGGGCAGUCAUUUGUAACCCACAGAACAUUGAGUUUCUAAAAUUUGAGUGUUUUUUAACUUACGAAGGCCAACUUUACUGAUGAAGUGGUUACCCCAAAUAUGUGAAAUCCAUAUUUCAAGCACAAUAGCAGGAAAUCGGAAAUGGGUAGGUAUAUUUCUGACUGUCAAAGAGUACAAAGUAAAGAGGGGCCCCUGAAGAGUGACACUACUG
rnacentral:sRNA from 1 species